CCUUACCAAGGCUUAAAUGGGAAAUGACAGGUUUAGAAAUAGACUUUUCUUCGGACAUUUUUCAAGGUGCUGCAUGGUUGUCGUCAGCUCGUGCCGUGAGGUGUUAGGUUAAGUCCUGCAACGAGCGCAACCCCUGUCACUAGUUGCCAUCAUUAAGUUGGGGACUCUAGUGAGACUGCCUACGCAAGUAGAGAGGAAGGUGGGGAUGACGUCAAAUCAUCACGGCCCUUACGCCUUGGGCCACACACGUAAUACAAUGGCCAGUACAGAGGGCAGCUACACAGCGAUGUGAUGCAAAUCUCGAAAGCUGGUCUCAGUUCGGAUUGGAGUCUGCAACUCGACUCUAUGAAGCUGGAAUCGCUAGUAAUCGCGCAUCAGCCAU
rnacentral:rRNA from 1 species